rnacentral:pre_miRNA from 1 species
UCAGUCUAUAGGUCAGUCUCCUUCUAUAAGUAGUGGUGCCGCAGGUACGUCCUGGUCACUCUACCUGCACACCGGUGCUUACAUUGGGAGACGGACAGUGCUGCAU